rnacentral:lncRNA from 1 species
UUCAAGAGGGAGUGAUGGAAUCGAGAUACGCAAAUGUAAACUUAAUUACGGAAUGUAACCUUGUUGCGAUACAGUUGUUGCGUUAUAUCUAGGGGCCGUUAAAUGGGCCAGGCUUUGGCUUAUCAAAGUACAAUGGGUAAACUCUUUGCCCCCCAAGACUAUCUAACAUCAUAAUCCUUCAUCACCUAAAAUUGAAUCAUGAACUCGUAAGAACUAAAAACUUAUUGUUAAGCUAAACUAGACCUAUUUCAAAAAUAGGUUAGCAAAACGGGGAGUGGAACCCUUUCAGUGAAAAUUUAGAUUUUUAAGUACGGAAAUGCAUGAUUAUGCAACUAUUUUUAUUUUUCUCAGAUGUCUUAUCGGUAAAAUGGUUGAGGAGGAGGAAAGAAGCACAUAUUUUGUCAUUAAAAACAAUACAGCUUCAGAGAUUACCUAUCAAAUCAAGUUGCUGAACUCAUCGUCGAUUAAUUCAAAUAGUAGAACCUGAUGGAGAUCGUCCAUUCCCUAACCAAGUUAGCGAGGAAUCCACCUAUGUAAGUUUUCAAAAACAAAUAAACAUUUGAGAAAAUAAAGUGAGAAAUCAAUGAAUAAAUCAUACACAUGAAAGACUUAAGCUACACAUUUGCACAACCUGCUGAAUAUUAACUCUAUCAUCCAUCUCUUGUGUUUUUUGUUAUGUGUAGAAAUGUGCUUAAAAACAUGAGGAAUCAUGUUGCAUUACAGUUUGAUAUGCAAAAAAAGUUUAACAAUCUACAACUUAUGUCUUAAGAAUCAUAGAAGAGAAGAUAGUUCAAGAAUGAUUACAAUGGGCUCUUCUCAAGACAUGAAAAGAAUGUCAGGAUACCAACUAUGAUUGCUUGCUUACUUGAACAUUUUCAAGGAAUUGGUGUACAUGACCAUAACCAUUAACAAAACCUCUAUGAUUGCUUCCUUACUAUGGAUUUUAAAUCUUCUGUUAUAAAUCCUAAUUGAAUACCUCUAAACUUUUGAAAUCCACCAUCUUUUUUUUUUUUAAUCCAAUGGCUAGAACGGCGUCCCUCACGCCAUAAUCAUUAACAAAACCUCAAAAUACAAGGGGGUACAUUGUGCCUAAACCUCAUACUGUAAGAACACCCUAAAAACAUAUUAGGCAUGUCUACAAAAUUUAUACAUUCUAGCAAGCACCAUUUAGCAAAGAGUGCACCAUUGGCUACUCCAUUUGCUUUACAAAUUUGGCGACAUACCGGAAAAAAGCUGCUCAUGCAAAGCCAUAAGUUAUAAUGUCUAUCAGCUUUCCGGUUAUGAUGCCACUGAAAAUUACCAUUGACCCUAUAUUUUAUCUUGCCACUAGGAGGCUGCGACUAUUUAACAAAGAAAGGAACUCGCUGUCUUAUUUGGGAAAACAUGACACACUGCGUUCACUUACCCGGGCAUAGCCCACCAGGAUCCAAAAAUAAAGAAAAACAAUAAAGCAUACACAAAAAGGAGCACCUAUUAGGGCGCGCAUUGCCCUUCAUUAGCUAUACGAAACUGGCGACUUAUUUCCACACCUAACCCAAUUAGAAUUAAAAAAAUAAAACACAAGACCAAAAACGUAGUAAAUACCAAAACCAAAACUAGGCUUGCAAGCCAAAUCGAGGCCAUGAAGCCCAAAGCCAGAUCAAGGUCCACCGGCCCACCAAAUUUGACCCACAUCAGCAGCUACAUCACCAUCACCUCCCCGCCGAUCUGGGACCACCACAGCACCGCCGACCUCAGGUCUUUGCCCACGGAUCGCCUCGCCAUCGAACCAAUAACCACCAGAUAUGGUGAGCGGUUCAAUCACCUACCUCCCCUGGUAAGAAUAUGAUCUAUAAACCACACUAGAGACUCCACAAGACCUCUUUGUCGGCGUAAAGGUCUGUUCUCCCCCACACCGCUCGCCACCCUCUCUUGACAGAUCGGGAAUUGAAUCUGAAAAUCCGAAACGAAUCUGCCAAUCACCACAUCACAUCACCAAACCCAUCUCAUCCUCCUCCGUCGACGACUGGUCACCACCCCGCCCCAGACCGGAUCUACGACCACUGCAAUCUCGCUCCACUGCCAAACCACUGCAACCACCCACUCUGAACAAGAAGAUCGGCCGAGAAAACCACCUAACUGCUUCCUUAGUGCACCAGGCUCGCUCUCGACCCACACAACCCGUCCGGCAGCCCCCAACAAACGUUGACGAGGCCAGAGGCCAUCCCCAACGCCUUGGAGCCGCUGGACAGGCGAAGAAGAUACCAAAGGCUCGACCUAGGGUUACAGCGCGUGGAGGCGCGUUCCCCUCAGUCAGAAAACUAGCUCGUUUCUUUUUAUUUGUCAACUGACAUCCACAAAAGUCUUUAAAACAUCAUGAAAAUUCAAAUACAAUACACCCACCCCUUAGUUUUUCAUAAAAGUAAAUUAGAGGUCUAUGAAUAUAUAGAAUUAUGAAGCUCUCUACGAGUUUUAGUUAAAUAAAAGAAAAGCCCCGUAUCUGUUACAAAAAAAAAAAAAACCGUAAAUAAUUAAGUUUUUAACAAUUGAAGUUAUAGUAUUGAUUAAGCUAGCGUCAUAAAUGUUUUCGUUAAGAUUUUAUAGUUAUAUACUUGUAACUUACUCACUGUGUGAUAUGAUUACUGAUCUCAACCUUUGAUUCGUGUGUUAUUCUCCAUGAUCGAUCCAAAACUAAAUUACCCCAAAAUAAACAAAAAAAAAAAAAAAUCGAUCAUGGCAGAAUCCUAAAGCUCAUUGCCUUCAAACGAGCAAGACUGAAUUCAUGCAUGCCAAAUUAAUGAGAAAACGAAAUUAACGAGCCAAA